GAGCACUGUUACGGCUAGGGGGGACAUAAGUCCUUACCAAACCGUUGCAAACUCCGAAUACCCUGAAGUUCAAUCGCGGGAGACACACGGUGGGAGCUAAAUUUCAUCGUGAAGAGGGAAACAACCCAGACCGCCAGCUAAGGUCCCUAAAAUUGGCUAAGUGGGAAACGAAGUGGGAAGGCUAAAACAGUCAGGAUGUUGGCUUAGAAGCAGCCAUCAUUUAAAGAAAGCGUAAUAGCUCACUAGUCGAGUCGGCCUGCGCGGAAGAUGUAACGGGGCUAAAACCAUACACCGAAGCUACGGGUAUCACCUUCGGGUGAUGCGGUAGAGGAGCGUUCUGUAAGCCUGUGAAGGUGAGUUGAGAAGCUUGCUGGAGGUAUCAGAAGUGCGAAUGCUGACGUGAGUAACGACAAUGCGAGUGAAAAACUCGCACGCUGAAAGACCAAGGGUUCCAGUCCAACGUUAAUCGGGGCUGGGUGAGUCGACCCCUAAGGCGAGGCCGAGAGGCGUAGUCGAUGGGAAAUUGGUUAAUAUUCCAAUACUUCUGUGUAAUGCGAUGAGAGGACGGAGAAGGUUAAGUCAGCCUGGCGUUGGUUGUCCAGGUGAAAGGUUGUAGGCAUGCAUCUUAGGCAAAUCCGGGGUACUCUAUGCUGAGAACUGAUAGCAAGCUGCACUUGUGCAGUGAAGUGGCUGAUACCAUACUUCCAGGAAAAGUCUCUAAGCUUCAGUUACACAGGAAUCGUACCCGAAACCGACACAGGUGGUCAGGUCGAGUAGACCAAAGCGCUUGAGAGAACUCUGCUGAAGGAACUAGGCAAAAUGGUACCGUAACUUCGGGAGAAGGUACGCUGUCG
rnacentral:rRNA from 15 species